AUGGCGGCCCGACCGCCGCCCCCGUGCUUCUUCUCCUUCCUCAAGCACGGCGCCCUCCUCCCGGCGCGCCACGGCGGGCUCUUCCUGCCGCUGCUCGCGCUCACCGCGGCCCUCGCCGCGGCGCUCCUCCUCACCAACUCCCUCGCCGUGCAGCCCCUCGCCGCCGCCGCGCUGGUCGACGCCAGCGCCAUCAGCCGCGCCGACCCGGCCGGCGCCGCGUACCCGGGCCUCGUCAGGGCGCUCAGGGGAGACCUCAGGCGGCUCCUGCUCGAGGUUGGCGCGUGCGUCCUCGCCGCGGUCGUCGUCGGGUCCGCCAUCAAGAUAGCCACCGUCUUCGCCGCCGUCAGGGCGUUCUCCUCCGGCACCGAUGACGACGACGCCACCGAGCGGCUGACCGUGUCCGCCGUCCUGGGCGGCGCGAGGGGCAACCUGUGGGGGCCCGUCGCGACCGUGGCCUUCGGGUACGUCCUCGAGGUGGCCUGCGCGGGCGCCAUCGUCGCGCUGGCGCUGGCCACGGUCUACCUCCUGGAGCGCUCGCUGCUGCUCCUCUUCCUCGACGUCCUGCUCGUGCUCCUCGCGUCGCUCUUCCUCGUCUACCUCACCGUGGUCUGCGCGGUGGCGGUCGUGGUCUCGGUGGCGGAGCCGGGGCGGCACGGCGCGGCGGCGGUGUCCCGCGCGUGGCGGCUGAUGGAGGGGAGGAGCGCGCGGGCGGCGCUCUACGUGGUCGCGACGUGCGCGCUCGGCGCCGCGGUGUCGCCGGUGUACACGCUGGCGCUGAGGCUUUGGCCGCGGAGCCCGUGCGCCGGGGUGGCCGCCGGCGCCGCCUACGUGGCCCUGCUCGGCGCCGUGGAGUUGUUCUCCGUCGAGGCCGUCACGGCGUACUACUUCGAGUGCAGGGACAGCAAGGAGGAGGAGGAGGUGGCGGCAGCCCACAGACACAGAUACGCCAAGCUGCCCAAUGGAGAUACGUGA
rnacentral:rRNA from 1 species